rnacentral:rRNA from 1 species
AGUGAACGCUGGCGGUAGGCCUAACACAUGCAAGUCGAACGGCAGCACAGUAAGAGCUUGCUCUUACGGGUGGCGAGUGGCGGACGGGUGAGGAAUACAUCGGAAUCUACUUUUUCGUGGGGGAUAACGUAGGGAAACUUACGCUAAUACCGCAUACUACCUACGGGUGAAAGCAUGGGAUCUUCGGACCUUGCGCGAUUGAAUGAGCCGAUGUCGGAUUAGCUAGUUGGCGGGGUAAAGGCCCACCAAGGCGACGAUCCGUAGCUGGUCUGAGAGGAUGAUCAGCCACACUGGAACUGAGACACGGUCCAGACUACUACGGGAGGCAGCAGUGGGGAAUAUUGGACAAUGGGCGCAAGCCUGAUCCAGCCAUACCGCGUGGGUGAAGAAGGCCUUCGGGUUGUAAAGCCCUUUUGUUGGGAAAGAAAAGAAGCAGGUUAAUACCCCGCUGUUCUGACGGUACCCAAAGAAUAAGCACCGGCUAACUUCGUG